rnacentral:rRNA from 1 species
UACGUAGGGUGCAGGCGUUAAUCGGAAUUACUGGGCGUAAAGCGUGCGCAGGCGGUCUUUUAAGUCAGAUGUGAAAUCCCCGGGCUUAACCUGGGAACUGCGUUUGAAACUGGAAGGCUAGAGUGUGGCAGAGGGGGGUGGAAUUCCGCGUGUAGCAGUGAAAUGCGUAGAUAUGCGGAGGAACACCGAUGGCGAAGGCAAUCCCCUGGGCCUGCACUGACGCUCAUGCACGAAAGCGUGGGGAGCAAACAGG